rnacentral:rRNA from 1 species
CCCUUAGAUGUUCUGGGCUGCACGCGCGCUACACUGAUGCGCUCAACGAGUUUACGACCUUGCCCGGAAGGGUUGGGUAAUCUUUUUAAAACGCAUCGUGAUGGGGAUAGAUUAUUGCAAUUAUUAAUCUUUAACGAGGAAUUCCUAGUAAGCGCGAGUCAUCAGCUCGUGCUGAUUACGUCCCUGCCCUUUGUACACACCGCCCGUCGCUACUACCGAUUGGAUGGCUUAGUGAGACCCUCGGACCGAUAGGCUGUCGCUGCAGCAAUGUGGCGACUGGCCCGUCUGGGAAGAAGGUCAAACUUGACUGUCUAGAGGAAGUAAAAGUCGUAACA